rnacentral:rRNA from 1 species
GAUGAACGCUAGCGGCAGGCUUAAUACAUGCAAGUCGAGGGGCAGCACAGGUAGCAAUACUGGGUGGCGACCGGCAAACGGGUGCGGAACACGUACACAACUUACCUUCUGGUGGGGGAUAGCCUUUGGAAACGGAGAUUAAUACCCCAUAUUAUAUAUGAGCUGCAUGGUUUGUAUAUUAAAGAUUAUUGCCGGAAGAUGGGUGUGCGUAUGAUUAGGUAGUUGGCGGGGUAACGGCCCACCAAGCCGACGAUCAUUAACUGGUGUGAGAGCACGACCAGUCAAACGGGCACUGAGACACGGGCCCGACUCCUACGGGAGGCAGCAGUAAGGAAUAUUGGUCAAUGGACGGAUGUCUGAACCAGCCAUGCCGCGUGGAGGAUGAAGGUCCUCUGGAUUGUAAACUUCUUUUAUAGGGGGCGAAAAAAGGGAAUUCUUUCUCGUCUGACGGUACCCUAUGAAUAAGCACCGGCUAACUCCGUGCCAGCAGCCGCAGUAAAAC